rnacentral:rRNA from 1 species
GAGUUUGAUCCUGGCUCAGAACGAACGCUGGCGGCAGGCCUAACACAUGCAAGUCGAGCGCACCUUCGGGUGAGCGGCGGACGGGUGAGUAACGCGUGGGAAUAUGCCCAGAUCUACGGAAUAGCCUCGGGAAACUGAGAGUAAUACCGUAUACGCCCUUCGGGGGAAAGAUUUAUCGGAUUUGGAUUAGCCCGCGUUAGAUUAGGUAGUUGGUGGGGUAAUGGCCUACCAAGCCUACGAUCUAUAGCUGGUUUGAGAGGAUGAUCAGCCACACUGGGACUGAGACACGGCCCAGACUCCUACGGGAGGCAGCAGUGGGGAAUCUUAGACAAUGGGGGAAACCCUGAUCUAGCCAUGCCGCGUGAGUGACGAAGGCCCUAGGGUCGUAAAGCUCUUUCAGCUGUGAAGAUAAUGACGGUAGCAGCAGAAGAAACCCCGGCUAACUCCGUGCCAGCAGCCGCGGUAAUACGGAGGGGGUUAGCGUUGUUCGGAAUUACUGGGCGUAAAGCGCGCGUAGGCGGACUAGUCAGUCAGAGGUGAAAUCCCAGGGCUCAACCCUGGAACUGCCUUUGAUACUGCUAGUCUUGAGUUCGAGAGAGGUGAGUGGAAUUCCGAGUGUAGAGGUGAAAUUCGUAGAUAUUCGGAGGAACACCAGUGGCGAAGGCGGCUCACUGGCUCGAUACUGACGGUGAGGUGCGAAAGUGUGGGGAGCAAACAGGAUUAGAUACCCUGGUAGUC